UGCACUCCAGACUGGGUGACAGAGUGAGACUCCAUCUCAAAAACAAAACAAAACAAAACAAACAAACAAAAAACAAAAACCCUUUGGAAUCAGGCACACCUAGGUCGCGGCUGUGACUUGAGCUCUUUGUGGCUGGGUGCAUUGGAGCCAAUUAUUUAACUUCACUGAGACUUCACGCUGUCAUCUGUAAAGUGAGUAGGGUGGUGCCAGGAGUGUUAAAGCAGGUAAGGGACAGAUGUAACGUUUUGGGCACAGG
rnacentral:lncRNA from 1 species